rnacentral:rRNA from 1 species
AUCGUACCCCAAACCGACACAGGUGGUCAGGUAGAGAAUACCAAGGCGCUUGAGAGAACUCGGGUGAAGGAACUAGGCAAAAUGGUGCCGUAACUUCGGGAGAAGGCACGCUGAUAUGUAGGUGAAGCCCCUGCGGGCGGAGCUGAAAUCAGUCGAAGAUACCAGCUGGCUGCAACUGUUUAUUAAAAACACAGCACUGUGCAAACACGAAAGUGGACGUAUACGGUGUGACGCCUGCCCGGUGCCGGAAGGUUAAUUGAUGGGGUUAGCGGCAACGCGAAGCUCUUGAUCGAAGCCCCGGUAAACGGCGGCCGUAACUAUAACGGUCCUAAGGUAGCGAAAUUCCUUGUCGGGUAAGUUCCGACCUGCACGAAUGGCGUAAUGAUGGCCAGGCUGUCUCCACCCGAGACUCAGUGAAAUUGAACUCGCUGUGAAGAUGCAGUGUACCCGCGGCAAGACGGAAAGACCCCGUGAACCUUUACUAUAGCUUGACACUGAACACUGGUCCUUGAUGUGUAGGAUAGGUGGGAGGCUUUGAAGCGUGGACGCCAGUCUGCGUGGAGCCGUCCUUGAAAUACCACCCUUUAAUGGCUGGUGUUCUAACGUGGACCCGUGAUCCGGGUUGCGGACAGUGUCUGGUGGGUAGUUUGACUGGGGCGGUCUCCUCCCAAAGAGUAACGGAGGAGCACGAAGGUUAGCUAAUCCUGGUCGGACAUCAGGAGGUUAGUGCAAUGGCAUAAGCUAGCUUGACUGCGAGAGUGACGGCUCGAGCAGGUGCGAAAGCAGGUCAUAGUGAUCCGGUGGUUCUGAAUGGAAGGGCCAUCGCUCAACGGAUAAAAGGUACUCCGGGGAUAACAGGCUGAUACCGCCCAAGAGUUCAUAUCGACGGCGGUGUUUGGCACCUCGAUGUCGGCUCAUCACAUCCUGGGGCUGAAGUAGGUCCCAAGGGUAUGGCUGUUCGCCAUUUAAAGUGGUACGCGAGCUGGGUUUAGAACGUCGUGAGACAGUUCGGUCCCUAUCUGCCGUGGGCGCUGGAGAAUUGAGGGGGGCUGCUCCUAGUACGAGAGGACCGGAGUGGACGCAUCACUGGUGUUCGGGUUGUCAUGCCAAUGGCACUGCCCGGUAGCUAAAUGCGGAAGAGAUAAGUGCUGAAAGCAUCUAAGCACGAAACUUGCCCCGAGAUGAGUUCUCCCUGAGACUAUAAGUCUCCUGAAGGAACGUUGAAGACGACGACGUUGAUAGGCCGGGUGUGUAAGCGCAGCGAUGCGUUGAGCUAACCGGUACUAAUGAACCGUGAGGCUUAACCUU